rnacentral:lncRNA from 1 species
UUGAUUUUGUGUACCGAGGCAAUAGAAGGUUGGUCACCUCAACUCGGUAGCACCGAUGCAGAAUUAGUUGUACCAAAAUGGUAGGUUUGUUUAUGGUUCUGUUUGGGAUGGAAAUCGGUAGGGCCGAGUUUGGAAACUUGGUGGCACCGAUUUUAGAUAUUUGGCUUUGGACAGAAGUGUUAUGUGGGAAAAUGACUGAGUACUUUUGGUGGCUAUCUCUAAG